rnacentral:tRNA from 1 species
GCCUUUAUAGCUCAGUGGUAGAGCGCUUGACUUGUAUAUUCUCUCUGAGAUCAAGAGGUCCGUGGUUCAAUCCCGCGUGGAGGCA